rnacentral:rRNA from 1 species
GACGAGCGCUGGCGGCGUGCUUAACACAUGCAAGUCGAACGGAAAGGCCCUGCUUUUGUGGGGUGCUCGAGUGGCGAACGGGUGAGUAACACGUGAGUAACCUGCCCUUGACUUUGGGAUAACUUCAGGAAACUGGGGCUAAUACCGGAUAGGAGCUCCUGCUGCAUGGUGGGGGUUGGAAAGUUUCGGCGGUUGGGGAUGGACUCGCGGCUUAUCAGCUUGUUGGUGGGGUAGUGGCUUACCAAGGCUUUGACGGGUAGCCGGCCUGAGAGGGUGACCGGCCACAUUGGGACUGAGAUACGGCCCAGACUCCUACGGGAGGCAGCAGUGGGGAAUAUUGCACAAUGGGCGGAAGCCUGAUGCAGCAACGUCGCGUGCGGGAUGACGGCAUUCGGGUUGUAAACCGCUUUCGCCUGUGACGAAGCGUGAGUGACGGUAAUGGGUAAAGAAGCACCGGCUAACUACGUG